rnacentral:lncRNA from 10 species
GGAGAUAUCCCUCCGCAGAGCUGGGUCUGGCCGCGGGCGGGGAAGCAGGAAAAUAAAGCCAAGUUGUGAUUUCGCCUCUACAGACCUCUCUACCCGCCCAGCUCUUCCUCGGAUAUUGUAAGCCCCGUCAAGCUUUCUUUGUUCAAGGGGUGGAGGAGGGGGCGCCUAACCUUUCCCCUUCCACCUCUUCUUACUAACUCCUGCUGGACCUUCAAGAUUUGACUCAACUGUCAGUAACUUCAAGAUGCCUUCCUGAGGGUACACCCAGGUCUCUACCUCAGGGGAAAAGACCUACCCUAGGUCUCCUGGCAGCAGCGCUGUGGCCGGAGUUGGCCCCAGUGGCGGCCUUUUUCCAAGCGGAGGAGGAACAGCCAAGCUAAGCUUGACCACCGUCACCGCCCAGGGACCUGAGCGGGAGCUGGCUAGGACAAAACCUCAAAACGGGACUUGGGAAAACCGCACCACCCAGAAAACUCAGCCCCUCCACCUCCCUCCCAGCACACACACACACCCUCUUAAUCUAAAACUCCUCCCCGGGGCAGAUAAGGAACCUAUUCGGAGAGUUAAGUUAAUUGCCCCAGGUCAAUGUGGAAAUUCACAGCCUGUCUUUCCAGCUCCUAAACCAGAAGCUGCAGAGAAGGAAGGAUUUGGGAUUUGCGGCUACACAGCCAAGGACGCUUUUGUCAUCUUCAAAGGACCCCCUACACCCUACACGCUUGGCCCGCUCUGUUCAUUGCCAACAGAGUGAUGGUUGAAUGCAUUCACAUGGUUCCAAAUUCAAAUAAACAGCAAGAAGUCUCCCUCCCACCCUGUCUGCCACCCACUUGGUUUUCCUUCUCUGGAGGCAACCUGGGUUAGUGGUCAGAAGAUGCAUUUAACUGUUUUCCAGCUGAGGCCUUGUGAGAACUCCUCGGACACCAAUUUAAAUCUUUAUGUCCAGAACUCCUUUCUCCAAUCCAGGUAGAGCCACUCCCCUAUCCUAUCCCCACUCCCACCCUUCCCCCCUUCAGCCUCAAUCCUAAGCAGGCUCUAUUAACAAUGAUGAGCCACCAUUUCCUCGAGCUACUAACAAAUGCAAAUGUUUAAAUACUUUGUGGUUCUUUUUCCUCUUCUACAUUAAUUGCUAACAUUUAUCGAGGGCUUUCCGUGUGCCACGCACUGUGCUAAAUACUAGGCAUGCAUAUUCUUAUUUAAUCUGCCCCAAAUCUUCAUCAUUAUCCUUAUUUACAGAUGCAGACGGUCUCACUCUUGUCAGCCCAGAUGGCAUGCAGUGGCACAGUCUAUGGAGGCAAUCAGGGUUAGCUGUCAGCUCACUGUGGCCUCAACCUCCCAGGCGCAAGUGAUCCUCCCACCUCAGCAUCCCCAGUAGCUGGGACUACAGGUGUACGCCACUACCCCCAGCUAAUUUUUGUAUUUUUUUGUAGAGAUGAGGUUCCACCAUUCUUGCCCAGACUGGUUUCGAACUCCUGGACUCAAGCGAUUUGCCUGCCUCGGCCUCAAAAAGUGCUGGGAUUACAUGCAUGAGCCACCACACCCGGACCCUCUCUCUUAAAUAGUGGCCCUUUUGCCUCUCUGCAACACAGGAAAAAUUCUGUUAGCCUGCAUCAGAAGGAGUGGCAUGGAGGCUUUGGAGUUAAGAAGAUUUAAUUCAAAUUAUGUGUCCGGUGCCUGCCAGCAAUGAGACCUUGGUAAGGUUUCUUAACCUCUCUGAGCUGGGACCAUACCUUCUGCGUUGGUUUAAUAUAAAGGUUAAAUGCAUGUAAAUAAAUGACUUCUAAAAUAAAUAACAUUCUAAAAUGUUAGUAACAACUAAAUACAAUAUUUAGAUCUUGUGAGGAUUUGAUUUGAAUAAAUAAGAUUUUUUUAAAAGACAUUUUUGAGACAAAAUGUAGACUAUCUGAUAUUAAGAAAUUAAUCACUUUUUCAGAUAUGAUAAUGGCAUUGCAGUUUUUUUUAAGUUCUUAUCUAUUACAGAUACAUAAUGAGGCAUUUUGAGUGAAAAUAUAUCUAGGAUUUGCUUUCCAAUACUCCAUCCCCUCCCCAUCAAAACACUAAAUAAAUGAAACAAGAUUAGUGAAAUACGGAAAAUUGUUGAAGUUAUUCAUUAUUCCAUUUCCCAUAUGGAACUUUCCAUACUAGUUUCCCUACUGCUGUUGAAUAUUUGACAUGUUUCAAAUACAUUUGAAAUAAAUUUAUUGUCUGAGAUGAUCAGGUUGAAAAAUAAUAAAAUGAAAUAAAUUUAAAAGUAAAAUAAACAUAACCCUUUUAAGCAUUAAAAUUAAAAAUUAUGAGGCUUGUUGAAUUAUUACUGUUAUAAAUAAUUACAUACAUGUAUUUUUGAAACAGUCUUGCUCUUUCACCCAGGCUGCAGUGCAGUGGCAUAAUCACAGUUCACUGCGGCCUCAACCUCCCAGGCUCAGGUGAUCCUUGCACGUCUGCCUCCCAAGUAGCUGGGACUGCAGGUGUGCACCACCAUGCCUGGCUAAAUUUUUCUCUUUUGUAGAGACGGGUUUUGCGAUUUUGCCCACACUGGUCUUAAAGUCCUGGG